AGAUCGCUUAGGAAAAAGCAGGCCCCUUUCAACACUCCAAUCAGCAACGGAUUGCGCCCGGCGUAAUCGCGGGUAAUCUCGGCGCCAAGCUCCUUGAUGCGCUGCUGAAUCUGAUCUUGCGAGAAAAGAAUUUCGAGAUUUGGGUUUGUGAAUUCGGUUGACAUGUGUGCAGAAGGUGUAGCCAAAGCUAAUCUCCUAUCGAUGAAAGAAGACCUGAUGAAAUUGCGUUGUUAGAGCAAUGCCGUUGUUGCCUAUCGUUGUUGCCUAUCCGGGAUUGGUGCGACAUACUAUUGAAGCUCUCCCGU
rnacentral:misc_RNA from 1 species